rnacentral:rRNA from 1 species
UACGAAGGGGGCAAGCGUUGUCCGGAUUCAUUGGGCGUAAAGAGCGUGUAGGCGGCCAGGUAGGUCAGCUGUGAAAUCUCGAGGCUCAACUUCGAGCUGUCGGUGGAAACUAUCUGGCUAGAGUCCGGAAGAGGAGAAUGGAAUUCCUGGUGUAGCGGUGAAAUGCGCAGAUAUCAGGAAGAACACCCGUGGCGAAGGCGGUUCUCUGGGACGGUACUGACGCUGAGACGCGAAAGCGUGGGGAGCGAACAGG